rnacentral:rRNA from 1 species
AUUGAACGCUGGCGGCAUGCCUUACACAUGCAAGUCGAACGGCAGCGGACCUUCGGGUGCCGGCGAGUGGCGAACGGGUGAGUAAUGCAUCGGAACGUACCUUUCAGUGGGGGAUAACGUAGCGAAAGUUACGCUAAUACCGCAUAUUCUGUGAGCAGGAAAGCAGGGGAUCGCAAGACCUUGCGCUGAUUGAGCGGCCGAUGUCAGAUUAGCUAGUUGGUGAGGUAAAGGCUCACCAAGGCGACGAUCUGUAGCGGGUCUGAGAGGAUGAUCCGCCACACUGGGACUGAGACACGGCCCAGACUCCUACGGGAGGCAGCAGUGGGGAAUUUUGGACAAUGGGGGCAACCCUGAUCCAGCCAUGCCGCGUGAGUGAAGAAGGCCUUCGGGUUGUAAAGCUCUUUCGGCCGGGAAGAAAUCGCACAGGCUAAUACCUUGUGUGGAUGACGGUACCGGAAUAAGAAGCACCGGCUAACUACGUGCCAGCAGCCGCCGCGGUAA